UUGAUGUUAUUAUAAUUAUUGUCUUUAGUUUUUAUAUAAAUUAAAUUCUGUAUAUGAGAACUAACAAAUUCAGACCUUAAUGAAUUUCAGGACUGACCAUUGAACUCGGCAUACAUUUAGUUGGCAUACACUGUCAUGAUGAGAUUUAAAAUAAGGCUGCAAAUGAACACCAAACACUUCUUAAAUACCAAAAUUUUACUGGACUACUAAUAUUAUAAAGAGAUGCAAUGGAAUAAGGACAAAAAAAAUCGGUUUAUGCAGUCUGAAGUUAAGAAGCUAAAUAUAAAAAAAAAACAAAAUACAGACAAAUUGAGAAUCUCCUCCUUUUUACGAUUGGUUCAAAAACAGGUUUGAAACAAAAAAAAACAUCAAAAUAUUUUACACUUGUUUAAAUAUUUAUUUAUUAAUUAUAUUCAAGUAUAACUUAUGCUCCUUUUUAAGUUCCAAACCCAAGCAAGACUAUAGUAUGAUUUUUAAUUCCAGUGUGGCAGGUUUUUUGUGUUAGAUGUGUUAGAAUCGACUUUUUACAGUCAUAAGUUGGUGGAGAUUACAUUUAUAUAUUAAGUAUUAAAUUACAUUUAUAUACAAAUUACUAUGCUGUUGGCGACUGAAUACGGUGUUACAGUCUGUGCUCCCUUAUCAGUGUGAGCUCAACCCCAUAGAGUUAGUUUAGGCUCAAGCAAAGGGGUACAUUACCAGGAAAAAUAAAUGUUUUAAAUACAAGAAGUAAAAAGUUAUUUGCCUUCUUGCCUGAGCGAAGUGAUGCCUAGAAAUUGGAGACAGUGCAUCAACCAUGCCAUAAAAGUCAAAGACAAAAUGUGCCACUUAAUAGAUGAAUGUGUGGAUUGACUUGUUCUAAAUUUAACUGAUUAUUAUAGCAACCGUAAUUAAUAAAAACAUAUAAAAUUA